GGCGGCCGCCAUGUUGAAUGUGGCUCCGCCCGGGGAGCUGCUGGAGUACGAGGGAGCCAAGAAGGGCUCCAAGGACCUCUGCCUCUUCUCUGAGCUCGUUCUUAGGCCCCUCUGCCGUCUGCACGCUCCUUUCCAGCCACCCGGCCUCCCGAUGCCGGCCUAGCACGUUCCUCGCGCCAGGCUUUUGCAUCUGCCCUUCCCACUGUCUUUCGUGUGCAAACGCCACAGGUCCUGCGCACCGCACCCCUCAUGGAAUAGCGUCGCCUCCUCUCUACCUUCACACACGCCCCGAAACUUGCCUCUCAUCCUGUGUCUCUAUAGAUUUUUGCACCAUCUGACCGACGGACCCCUACCCUUCCCUAGACCAUGUCACGAUUCCGUCGCAUCCUCUGCCAUUGUCCCUCGGAAUAUUCCUAGAUGGCAUUUAUCACUGUGGAUAGUUACCACUACUCAGCGUUUUGGCUAAGAUCAAGUGUUCCAUCAUCGUGGGUGGCUCAUACGUGUAAUCCCAGUACUUUGGAAGGUGGAGGCAAGAGGACUGCUUGAGGCCAGGAGUUUCAGAUCAGCCCAAGCAAUAUAGCAAGACCUCCAUCUCUACAAAAGAUUUUUAAAAAUUAGCCAGGUGGUGGCAGCAGACGCUUGUGCAGCUAUACGCAAGAUUAAGGCUGGGACUUCCUUGGCAAGAAGCAGGAGCUGCUGAAGUUGCUGGUCAACCUAUGGGUGAAGCUGUCCCAGCUGUGCAUCACCAAUGUCAGCAGUCCCGUCUUUUUGACACCAGGGACCAGUUUCGUGGAAGAUAAUUUUCCCAUGAAUGGGGGCAGGGGGAUGGUUUUGGGAUGAUUCAAGCACAUUACGCUUAUUGCGUACACCAUCUCUAUUAUUACAUUCUAAUAUAUGAUAAAAUAAUUCUACAACUCAUCAUGAUAUAGGAUCAAUGAGAGCCCUGAGCUUCUUUCCCUGCAACUAGAUAGUCGCAUCUGGGGCUGAUGGGAGACAGUGACAGAUCAUCAGGCAUUAGAUGCUCAUAAGGAGUGCACAACCGCCGGGCGUGGUGGCUCACGCCUGUAAUCCCAGCAUUUUGGGAGGCCAAGGCGGGUGGAUCACCUGAGGUCAGGAGUUUAAGACCAGCCUGGCCAACAUGGCAAAACCCUGUAUCUGUGAAAAAUACAAAAACUAACCAGGCGUGGUGACACAUGCCUGUAAUCCCAGCAACUCAGGAGACUGAGACAGGAGAAUCGCUUGAACUGGAGUGCAGUGGUGCAAUCAUAGCUCACUGCAGCCUUGAGCUCCUGGGCUCAAGUGAUCCUCCCACCUCAGCUUCCCAAAAUGCUGGGAUUACAAGCAUGCGUCACCACAGCAGGCCCAAUUAGAUAAGGUUUGAAGUAUGUCUACACCUGCAAGACCACCACCACAAUCGACAUAAUGAACAUCACCCGAUGCUCGUGUUCAUCAAAGUCUCUGCUCUCUCUUCCUAUGAUCACAGCAUGUCACUGUACACUCAUUUGUUUGCCUUCGUGCUUGUGAUGUCUUCCCCAUUAAACUGGGUGCCUGGUGAGGACACGGAACA
rnacentral:lncRNA from 1 species